rnacentral:rRNA from 1 species
UGGGUAACCUGCCUCAAAGAGGGGAAUAGCCUCCCGAAAGGGAGAUUAAUACCGCAUAAUAUGUUUAAGUCGCAUGACUUUAACAUCAAAGGAUUUUCUUUUAGAACUUCCACUUUGAGAUGGACCCGCGGCGCAUUAGCUAGUUGGUGAGGUAACGGCUCACCAAGGCAACGAUGCGUAGCCGACCUGAGAGGGUGAUCGGCCACAUUGGAACUGAGACACGGUCCAGACUCCGUAGGAGG